GGGGGUCACUAACGCUGUUGAGUUGUUUUGCUGCCUCUGGUACUGGAGGGGGGUCACUAACGCUGUUGAGUUGUUUUGCUGCCUCUGGUACUGGAGGGGGCCUUGAACCCAAAGCCCAAAGCAUCACAAAUAUCAGCCCAUUAUCAGUGGUUGAUGGAGGUCUAAUGUUCAACCCCAGUGUCCAGAAAAACUAAGUCUCCAUUGAAGGUUGGAGGGGUCUUCCCAGGAGGACAACGACCUCAAACACACAUCAAAAAAGCACCCUGGAAUGGUUUUCAAAGGAGGACACUUGGACUGUUCUGUUCUGACCAGACCAGAUGGUAAGAUCUGAAAAUGACAGUUGGUGGAGGACACCCCUCAAACUUUGAAGAAUUUGAAGAGGGUUACCGCUGAAGAGUGGACCAAAUUGACUGUAGAAAGGUGUAGGAAGCUCAUUGCCGGCUACCAGAAGUGUUUUGUCAGCAGUUACCUUGGCAACCAAGUACUAGCUCUGGGGGGGCAAUCAUUUAGUCCAUUCGUCUUUAUUUUCUAAAUAAAAAGAGUAAACUGAAGUUUACAAAAAAAACAAUGUUGAAACUCUUAAUAACAAAACAAAGUCUGGAAUGUUUUUCAUUUUAAACUGAUUUGAGAAGAAGUAGAGAAUUAUUUAAGAAAAGUGGAAUGUUGACUAUAUACAACUGUAUAUAGGUUAUCAGAUGUUAUUGGUCAUAUACACAUGGUUAUCAGAUGUUAUUGGUCACAUACACAUGGUUAGCAGAUGUUACUGGUCAUAUAUACAUGGUUAGCAGAUGUUAUUGGUCAUAUACACAUGGUUAGCAGAUGUUACUGGUCAUAUACACAUGGUUAGCAGAUGUUACUGGUCAUAUAUACAUGGUUAGCAGAUGUUAUUGGUCAUAUACACAUGGUUAGCAGAUGUUAUUGGUCAGAUACACAUGGUUAGCAGAUGUUAUUGGUCAGAUACACAUGGUUAGCAGAGGUUAUUGGUCAUAUACACAUGGUUAGCAGAUGUUACUGGUCACUUACACAUGGUUAUCAGAUGUUAUUGGUCAUAUACACAUGGUUAUCAGAUGUUAUUGGUCAUAUACACAUGGUUAUCAGAUGUUAUUGGUCAGAUACACAUGGUUAUCAGAUGUUAUUGGUCAUAUACACAUGGUUAUCAGAUGUUAUUGGUCAUAUACACAUGGUUAGCAGAUGUUAUUGGUCAUAUACACAUGGUUAGCAGAUGUUAUUGGUUCACAUACACAUGGUUAGCAGAUGUUAUUGGUCAGAUACACAUGGUUAGCAGAUGUUAUUGGUCAUAUACACAUGGUUAUCAGAUGUUACUGGUCAUAUACACAUGGUUAUCAGAUGUUAUUGGUCAGAUACACAUGGUUAGCAGAUGUUAUUGGUCAUAUACACAUGGUUAGCAGAUGUUAUUGGUCAGAUACACAUGGUUAUCAGAUGUUAUUGGUCAUAUACACAUGGUUAUCAGAUGUUACUGCUCAGAUACACAUGGUUAGCAGAUGUUAUUGGUCAGAUACACAUGGUUAUCAGAUGUUACUGGUCACAUACACAUGGUUAGCAGAUGUUACUGGUCAGAUACACAUGGUUAUCAGAUGUUAUUGGUCAUAUACACAUGGUUAGCAGAUGUUAUUUGUUCACAUACACAUGGUUAGCAGAUGUUAUUGGUCAGAUACACAUGGUUAGCAGAUGUUAUUGGUCAUAUACACAUGGUUAGCAGAUGUUACUGGUCACUUACACAUGGUUAGCAGAUGUUAUUGGUCAGAUACACAUGGUUAUCAGAUGUUACUGGUCACUUACACAUGGUUAGCAGAUGUUAUUGGUCAGAUACACAUGGUUAUCAGAUGUUACUGGUCACUUACACAUGGUUAGCAGAUGUUAUUUGUUCACAUACACAUGGUUAGCAGAUGUUAUUGCAAGUGUAGCAAUCUAGUAAAGGAAUGGGAUGAGAAUAUAUGUCUAAAAUAUAUGGAUGAGCAGUGACUGGGUUAGGGUAGGAAACCGAGAGUGGGUUAGGGUAGGUAACAGACAGACAGUGGUUUAGGGUAGGAAACAGACUGUGGGUUAGGGUAGGAAACAGACAGACAGUGGUUUAGGGUAGGAAACAGACAGUUGGUUAGGGUAGGUAACAGACAGACUGUGGGUUAGGGUAGGAAACAGACAGACAGUGGUUUAGGGUAGGAAACAGACAGUGGGUUAGGGUAGGAAACAGACAGUUGGUUAGGGUAGGUAACAGACAGACAGUGGGUUAGGGUAGGAAACAGACAGACAGUGGGUUAGGGUAGGAAACAGACAGUUGGUUAGGGUAGGAAACAGACAGACAGUGGGUUAGGGUAGGAAACAGACAGACAGUGGGUUAGGGUAGGAAACAGACAGACAGUGGGUUAGGGUAGGAAACAGACAGACAGUGGGUUAGGGUAGGAAACAGACAGACAGUGGGUUAGGGUAGGAAACAGACAGACAGUGGGUUAGGGUAGGAAACAGACAGACAGUGGGUUAGGGUAGGAAACAGACAGACAGUGGGUUAGGGUAGGAAACAGACAGACAGUUGGUUAGGGUAGGAAACAGACAGUGGGUUAGGGUAGGAAACAGACAGACAGUGGGUUAGGGUAGGAAACAGACAGUUGGUUAGGGUAGGUAACAGACAGACAGUGGGUUAGGGUAGGAAACAGACAGUUAGUUAGGGUAGGAAACAGACAGACAGUGGGUUAGAGUAGGAAACAGACAGACAGUGGGUUAGGGUAGGAAACAGACAGACAGUGGGUUAGGGUAGGAAACAGACAGACAGUGGGUUAGGGUAGGAAACAGACAGACAGUGGGUUAGGGUAGGAAACAGACAGACAGUGGGUUAGGGUAGGAAACAGACAGACAGUGGGUUAGGGUAUGAAACAGAGAGACAGUGAGUUAGGGUAUGAAACAGACAGUGGGUUAGGGUAGGAAACAGAGAGAGUUAGAGGAUGGGUAGGAGUCACAUCAUCCCCACUGCAGUCAGGUUUCUGUUGCUAUGGCAAAGCAGCACUUUUUAGUAGAUCAGAUGAUGUUCUGGGUGCUGCGGCACCCACUGAUACCCCCCGAAGACCCAAACACAAACUUUACUUAGAAAUAAAGACACCACCUCCCAGGUAAACGUAAUGUGUGCAAGUGGUGGGAAAAAUGUUUUGUAUGGCAAUCAUUGUUAUUAAAAAUGUUGAUUUAGAAAUGUUGUUAGAAAAUAGAGAUGCUUAAUUAACAGUUAAGCUGUUUCCCUUCUAUACAGUGGCU